rnacentral:misc_RNA from 1 species
GAUGAAGAACGUAGCGAAAUGCGAUAAGUAAUGUGAAUUGCAGAAUUCAGUGAAUCAUCGAAUCUUUGAACGCACAUUGCGCCCGUCAGUAUUCUGGCGGGCAUGCCUGUUCGAGCGUCAUACGCCCCUCAAGUCCCCUGUGGACUUGGUGUUGGGGAUCGGCGAGGCUGGUUUUCCAGCACAGCCGUCCCUUAAAUUAAUUGGCGGUCUCGCCGUGGCCCUCCUCUGCGCAGUAGUAAAACACUCGCAACAGGAGCCCGGCGCGGUCCACUGCCGUAAAACCCCCCAACUUUUUAUAGUUGACCUCGAAUCAGGUAGGACUACCCGCUGAACUUAAGCAUAUCAAUAAGCGGAGGA